AAAGUUUGACGAGGAAAUAGCUCAGAGGAAUAUUGAAUUUCCCAUUAAUUCUAUAAAAAACUUAGAAUUACUAGAAGACCAACUCAUUGACACGGAUUUCGAAAAAGCUUUGGUUAAAUUUUUUUCUAGAAUAUGCGGUACGAGUGGAAUGUUAAAAAUAUCAAAGAUUGGAUUACAGUUAACGAGAUGUUUAUUCACGGACGAACUCCUUAACCAGUUAACCUGGAAAGGAAUUAAAGGCUGUACUAAAGUACCCUUUAUGAACUUCAUCAAAACAAGAAAUAUGUUUUUUAAAAUUAUACAUUUGGCUGACAACUGUUGCUCUGCAAAGGAUUCUGACGCAUUUUUGCAGAACAGUGCGAUAAAACAUAGUGGCCAGCGCAUGAAGCGAAAUUCGUAAGUGCGAACAACUACUUAUUUUCUUUUUAUUUACAUCUGCAUUAUGUUACUCCAACAAAGGAGUAUUUAGGUGGUGGGUAAGCGGUUUAACACCGUUCAUUCGUUCAUUCGUUGCUAUUUUUGACGCAUCAGUAUCAUCAAUAGCAUUAUAACUGGUACUGGCGUGAUCGAAGUCGUAAUCAUCUUUUUUAGUAUUUUUAUCUUCCAUCAUUUCAAAAUCAGUAUUAAAAUUUCUUAAAUCUUCAACAAUUGACUUUUCAGCCGGAUGUUUUCUAUUAUUUCCACGAUUUUUAUGGUAUCUGUAAAAAUAAUAAUCAUUUAAAAGGUGAUAUUUCAUGAGAUAGCCAAACG